rnacentral:rRNA from 1 species
GACGAACGCUGGCGGCGUGCUUAACACAUGCAAGUCGAACGGACAGGCCCUGCUUUUGCGGGUUGCUCGAGUGGCGAACGGGUGAGUAACACGUGAGUAUCCUGCCCUUGACUUUGGGAUAACUUCAGGAAACUCGGGCUAAUACCGGAUAGGAGCUCCUGCUGCAUGGUGGGGGUUGGAAAGUUUCGGCGGUUGGGGAUGGUCUCGCGGCUUAUCAGCUUGUUGGUCGGGUAGUGGCUUACCAAGUCUUCGAAGGGUAGCCGGCCUGAGAGGGUGACCGGGCACAUGGGGCCUGAGGGACGGCCCAGUCUCCUACGUUAGGCAGCAGUGGGGAACAUGGCGCAGUGGGCGGGAGCCUGAUGCAACAGCGCCGCGUGCGGAAAGACCGCCUUCGGGGUGAAAACCGCUUUCUCCGGUAAUGAAGCGUGAGUGACGGUAAUGGGUAAGAAAGCACCGGCUAACUACGUG